rnacentral:rRNA from 1 species
UGCCAGACUCCUACGGGAGGCAGCAGUGGGGAAUCUUCCGCAAUGGGCGAAAGCCUGACGGAGCAACGCCGCAUGAUCGAAUGAAGGCCUUCGGGUUGUAAAGAUCUGUUGACAGGGACGAAUAAGCAAUGCGAAUAGUUUUGUGUAUGACGGUACCUGUUUAGAAAGCUCCGGCUAACUACGUGCCAGCAGCCGCGGUAAUACGGAGGAUGCGAGCGUUAUCCGGAUUUAUUGGGUUUAAAGGGUGCGUAGGCGGAAUGCCAAGUCAGCGGUAAAAUCGCGGGGCUCAACCUCGCUCCGCUGUUGAAACUGGCGUUCUUGAGUGGGCGAGAAGUAUGCGGAAUGCGUGGUGUAGCGGUGAAAUGCAUAGAUAUCACGCAGAACUCCGAUUGCGAAGGCAGCAUACCGGCGCCCAACUGACGCUGAAGCACGAAAGCGUGGGUAUCGAACAGGAUUAGAUACCCGUGUAA